ACGCGAGGCUAGUAGAAUGGGCCCUUUGAGGAGUAAUCCUUAGAGAGAACUUGGCUGUAUCGGUGGACAUCCAUUUUGGACAAUACCGAGGGAACCCGAAAGGGACUCCGUAGAGACUAAACGCCAGGCCCCUGUUUUACAGGGUGAAGAUAUAGUCCUACCCUUACAGUAAUGUAAGA
rnacentral:ncRNA from 1 species